GACGAACGCUGGCGGCGUGCUUAACACAUGCAAGUCGAACGGAAAGGCCCUGCUUGCAGGGUACUCGAGUGGCGAACGGGUGAGUAACACGUGGGUGAUCUGCCCUGCACUUCGGGAUAAGCCUGGGAAACUGGGUCUAAUACCGGAUAGGAGCCAUUUUUAGUGUGAUGGUUGGAAAGUUUUUUCGGUGUAGGAUGAGCUCGCGGCCUAUCAGCUUGUUGGUGGGGUAAUGGCCUACCAAGGCGGCGACGGGUAGCCGGCCUGAGAGGGUGGACGGCCACAGUGGGACUGAGAUACGGCCCAGACUCCUACGGGAGGCAGCAGUGGGGAAUAUUGCACAAUGGGCGCAAGCCUGAUGCAGCGACGCCGCGUGGGUGAGGACGGCCUUCGGGUUGUAAACUCCUUUCGCUAGGGACGAAGCUUUUUGUGACGGUACCUAGAUAAGAAGCACCGGCUAACUACGUG
rnacentral:rRNA from 1 species